rnacentral:snRNA from 1 species
AAAAAAAUCUAACAGGGGAGACACCAUAAUCUAGAAGGUAGUUUUCCUAGGGCAAGGCUCAUCCACUGCCCUUGAAAUAUGCUGACCCUUGUCAUUUCCCCAAAUGUGGGAAACUUGACCGCAGAGUAUGUGAUAAUAACAGACUGUUU